AUUGAACGCUGGCGGCAGGCCUAACACAUGCAGGUCGAACGGUAACAGGAAGCAGCUUGCUGCUUCGCUGACGAGUGGCGGACGGGUGAGUCAUGUCUGGGAAACUGCCUGAUGGAGGGGGAUAACUACUGGAAACGGUAGCUAAUACCGCAUAACGUCGCAAGACCAAAGAGGGGGACCUUAGGGCCUCUUGCCAUCGGAUGUGCCCAGAUGGGAUUAGCUAGUAGGUGGGGUAACGGCUCACCUAGGCGACGAUCCCUAGCUGGUCUGAGAGGAUGACCAGCCACACUGGAACUGAGACACGGUCCAGACUCCUACGGGAGGCAGCAGUGGGGAAUAUUGCACAAAGGGCGCAAGCCUGAUGCAGCCAUGCCGCGUGUAUGAAGAAGGCCUUCGGGUUGUAAAGUACUUUCAGCGGGGAGGAAGGGAGUAAAGUUAAUACCUUUGCUCAUUGACGUUACCCGCAGAAGAAGCACCGGCUAACUCCGUG
rnacentral:rRNA from 1 species